rnacentral:rRNA from 1 species
UGAGGAAUAUUGGGCAAUGGAGGCAACUCUGACCCAGCCAUGCCGCGUGCAGGAAGACUGCCCUAUGGGUUGUAAACUGCUUUUAUACAGGAAGAAACACACCUACGUGUAGGUGCUUGACGGUACUGUAAGAAUAAGCACCGGCUAACUCCGUGCCAGCAGCCGCGGUAAUACGGAGGGUGCAAGCGUUAUCCGGAAUCAUUGGGUUUAAAGGGUCCGCAGGCGGUCAAUUAAGUCAGAGGUGAAAUCCCAUAGCUUAACUAUGGAACUGCCUUUGAUACUGGUUGACUUGAGUUAUACGGAAGUAGAUAGAAUAAGUAGUGUAGCGGUGAAAUGCGUAGAGAUCUGAAGGAACAUCAGUGGCGAAGGCGACUCACUGGGCCAUUACUGACGCUGAGGUGCGAAAGCGUGGGUAGCAAACA